rfam:Alteromonas sp. JW12 Alteromonas_lipolytica_JW12_S20, whole genome shotgun sequence.
AUCUGGUGGUGGCACUCCCUUCGAUAACGGGCGGUGUGAGCGUUAGUGCGCAGAACAAACAAAAAAGGCCCGUAAUGUUACGGGCCUUUUUUU